CUGAGGCGGGCUCGGGCGAGCCUAGCGAAUUCGGGCGAGUCACGCAGAUACGGGGUGUCCCCAGUGCCCCCCUCUGGCGCGAAACCUUCUCCCUCUAGGGUUGUGCCCCAGCCUGACCACGGCCCCAUUGUGCUGGGCGCUGCACAAACACCCAGGAAGAUGCAGCCCUUGCUCCAGCGUUUCCAGUCUGGGUCUCAAGAAGAGCUUGGUGCCUCCGCCCAAGGCAGCAAUGGCACCUAACAGUAAGGGCUCGUGGGUGGUACUCUCUGCAGGCGUUAGAGCCAUUAUUAGGAUAUGUUUUUUCAUCUGGGUGCAGAGCUUUGCGUGCGUCUCUGUAAAAAAUAGAAGAACGGCCAGACUGGGUCAGACCAAAGGUCCAUCUAGCCCAAUAUUCCAUCUUCUGACAAUGGCCAAUGCCAGGUAUCAUAGAGGGAAUGAACAGAACAAGGAAUCAUCAAGUGAUCCAUGCCCUAUCGCCCAUUCCCAGUUUCUGGCAAAGAGAGGCUAGGGACACCAUUCCUGCCCAUCCUGGCUAAUAGCCAUUGAUGGACCUAUCCUCCAUGAACUUUAGUUCUUUUUUGAACCCUGUUAUAGUCUUGACCUUCACAACAUCCUAAAAUUGGAUGGAGUCCCAAUUUUGCCUGGCCUGGGCUGGUGCUGGAGUGAGGGGAUGCAGGGUAGCAAGUCACCCCCAUGCCAAAAAAAGCAAUAUCAGAAUGUUACACUCCUUAUGGUCUUGUGGAGCUUUGAUCACAGCUUCUGCCCAUGUGUCAUGACAUAUUGUAAAUAUGGCCUGAUCUAUGUUAGAAAUGUUAUGCCAGUAUAACUGUGUGGUUAGAAAUGUGACUUUUUGUAAACCAAUAUUUUUGUACCAAAGUAAGUGUUUGUGUAGACAGUUAUACCAGUAUAAAGGUUCUCAAGAAUGGUAUAGCAAAUUUCCCAAACCAGAAUAGGCUAUACCAAUAUAAACCCUUUAAUACUGGUAUAACUGCCCACACUUAGGAAGGGUUUGCUCCUUUAACUUUAUGGGUAUAGUUAAUGUGGUGAAACUUUCUAGGAUAGACAAGCCCAUGGGGUGCUUUAUACAACAGACUUGAAUUCACCCCCCAAGGCCCUCAGGCCCUCUUCUUCACAAUAUUCCCAGGGGUCUUGGAAGGAGUGCAAUGUGUGAUUAGACAGGUCUAAGGUUCCUGGAAUUCAGAAGUAAUGUAACAUUAAAAUAUUUUGAAUUGCUCA